GUGGAGAAAUCAAGACCCCAACAGAGGGCUGACCCGGUUACUCAGCAAUGCUGUGGCAGAAACACACAAAAGAGUCCGUGGCUUGUGAUUCACAGGCCAAGACGUUGCGUUGGCGCAGCACUCCCCGUGUUGACGUGGAAGGUGGUGAUGGCAGUGAGCAAAAAAGUGAUCCACGCACAGAUGCAUUUGUGAACGCCGGAUGAAACAAAGUUAAAAUAGGACCCAGUGGAUGAAGUGGACUGAAACACUGAAUCUGAAACAUUGAUGAUCACUACAGCAAAGGGAAGAGCUCGACCAAGGCUGAGCAGUCAACGGUGCCCUGUGCCCAUGAAUGGACAGUAGUGUCUUGCAAAGGGACCAUGAGCUGAAAAGACAUUCGUAAGUGCAAAAAUAGUGUGGUAAUUAUAGGAGUAAGUGGAGAGUCAAUUUCUUCUUAAAACAUCAUCGUUAUUAAAAUAGACUAAGUG